UCUAUUUGUAUAAUUUUCACUUUUCACAGUUGAACUAGGAAUAUUCCUGCAUGUUUGGUGCUAAUUACACAGCCAAUACUCAAUCAACAAUAAACAAAGCUCAUCACUCUCUCUCUCUGCUCCACAUUUUAAAACAGUAAAACAUUCAAUCAAACCUACCAUGUCCCUCUCAGAUUCUACAAGAGACAGAAUCAUGUUUAUUUUGCAAGAAAAAUGCUGCACAACACCAUCUUUUAAUGUAUCUACCUUCUCUAGAUUGCCUCUACUUCUAGUAUGAACUUUUCUUCCUUCUCUUCUCCUUUUUGAACUAAAAACACCCAUCAGUUUAUGGGCAGGGAAAGACCAACCACAAGUCCACAACCAUGGAAAAGAGUAAUGAGAAACAUGCUGUUAUGAAGGUAGCAAAAGAAGAAGACACGAGAAAAGCUUUAUUCGGUGCAACAGAAUCACCAACUGAAAGUGGCAGACCAAGCAGCAUUGUUUUAAGAAAGCUAAUAGAGUAAUACCAGCUCAUAUAGUUAAUGAAGCCAUAUCAACGCUCCAUGGCAUGGACCUUCGUUGGUUAGGAGGAGAGGAAACUGAUCUGUACGAUCGAAGAACCCCAACCAGACGACAAGAGGAUUUUUCAG